CUCACCUUCUCUCCUGGAAGAAGCCUUCCCCAGGCCCAGCCGCUGCCUCUUCCUGCUCAGUGCCGUGGGGUGAGUGCUCGCACAAUCCCGUGAUUGCGUGGCUGGGCUUUGGUGUGACAUUGUCCCCACGGUAGAUAAGGAGGAAGCACGUAAUGCUGAUGACAGGCUGGCAGCCACGAGCUACGUGCUGUUCCGACCUGAAAAGCUGGAUUGGCAACGACACCUGAUGUCCCAGCGGAGGGCUGCUGCUCCGCCGUCUGUACAGGUGCAUUCCUUCUCUCCAGUACCGAAAUCUAUGAUGAGUUGCAGUUGGUAAAAUGAAAAUGUCUUAAUUCAGGAAAUGUAGAUGAAAACAUUCAGCAUGGAAUCCAGGCAACAAUAACACUGAUGUCAGCCUGCUGUCCAAGAUUCACAGGGGCUCCCAGGAGGAAAUAUGUCACCAGGCGCUUGCCAGCCACCGUUCUCUCCUUCCCCCAGGUUUGCCGGAUGACCAUCCUGGCAUCGACGUCUUGACUUGAGGAUGCCACAAGCAGGACAAGGAAAGGCGGGUUCUUAUGGCAUUCUAUAUCUGGGAGCUGCAAGAAGUUUCUUUCAAAUCUCCUAAAUGUUUGUAGUAUGCAAUUUUGUUUUUUUCCAUAGAAUAUAGAGAGUCCAGUCAAAUUCAUGUAAAAAUAACAUAAGCUGGCACAGCUGAGCCCCACAAGGCACACAAGCACCUUGAAUUUUCUGAAAUCCAUCUGAAAUAAACCAGAAGGAAUGGCAUAUUAAAAAAAAAAUCUUGUUCCCUUCAGUGCUGCAUACAAAACUCACUGCAUAGGGAUUUAAAGCCAAGUCAUCCCUUUUUGAAAGCUGCCUGCCUCUGGGCAUUUGCCCACAUGCAUUUUUCUGAGGAAUGUUCCUACAAGACAUACUGCUGGCAAUCAAAUUCUCACUUGUUCUUCUUUGAACCUGCCCCUAAGACAGUAUAUCCUCAAAAACUCACACAAGAGAGCUCACUGAUACCAGGUCACCCUAGCUGAUGCUUAUCAUUUGCUCAUUACUUUCAAUAUGGAAUCACAGAAUCAUAGAAUCACCAAGGUUGGAAAAGACCUCAAAGACCAUCCAGUCCAACCACCCACCUACCACCAAUAUUUCCCCACUAAGCAUGCUACCAAGCAUGCCUUUGACCCAUCAGCAGUGACAACAAGAAGGACUGGAGAAGCAGCAGACAUACACUCAUGCCAGAUGAGAGAAAGUAACAGUAAUACAAUUUCUAAAUACCGUAUUUCUCCAUUCAAUUGAAAAAUGUCUGGGUCCCGAAGCCAGCAAGCCCUGGCCAAUUAGCAGGCAUAACCAACCAGGUUCCUCCAGUCUUCAUCUACUCUGCAUCCUGUGGGUCUCUUGCACCGAUCCAGAAUUUGCUCCCGAUCUUUCCGCUGGAGAGGCCGUGAGUGGCAUGUUUGACAUGGGCCAGCUGCUUGGAAAAAAAGACAAAGCAGUGAGUCAGGUUACUGGGAUCUUUCUCUUUUUGCAGACUGUAGGUGACUCACUAGGGCAUGUUGAGGUGAAAAGCGAGUGGUCUGCACUUCUCUGUCCUUUAGAGGAAGGAGACCCAAACAAUAACAACUCAUUCAUCCUUGUAACAUACUGAUGUGCUGCAGACACAGUUGCAAAUCUAGUAGAAAUUGUAAGAGAGAGGAAAACAAUGAAAGUAAAACUAAAUAGAUCACAGUGCCAAAAAGAAUUACACGCCUCCUUAAAUGAACUGAGAAAAUUCUAAUGGUUGAGUUACUAAGUACAUGACCCAAAGGGCCCACCAGCUCCUCCUUCAGAGCACCAGAAUGAGGGAAUUUUUACUGGGAGGAAAGCAUUCCAUUCCUCUUCUCCCACUCCAUAACAGCAAAUUUGAUCUGGUUUCCCAUCCAAAAACACAACAAAUGGAGCUGGGAAGCCUCGGAGUUCUAGAUUUCAUGAAAAUUUGAUCUCUGUCUUCUGACCAGGAAUGUUCUGCCUAGACUCCCCAAGCCACACCAGUACCUUCAUCUCAAAUGCAAGCAGAGGCCUCCAACAUCUUUCUUUUCUACUCAAUUAAUAGGUUAUGUGUUACAGACUUCAAUGCAUUUUGAAGUUCAGUCAGUAAGUUCAACCCAACUUACCAAUACGAAUAAUCUCAUUAAUUUUGUCAGGUACUCACGAAAACAUAAAAUGAGUAGAUCUGGAGUCCUAAUUUGCUGAAAUUCCUUCCACGGUGAAAUGCAUUUUUUUUAAAGAUUCAAUAAGCAUUUUUGAAAAUAUGUACCAAUUUCAUGUUUCUUCUGAUACUUGUAUUUAAAUUAUUAUCUUUAAAUUGAAUAUUCCUCAGAUCUGUAUUUUUUCAACUAUACAUAGCAUACAGUAGCCUUAAGAGUAUCUCAAUAAUUGUUUUAAAUAAAUACACUUGUAAAUUUGUGUGAGUAUAGCUAUAAUAAAAAAACAUGCAUAUAUAAACACAUUUCUAUAUAUGAUGUUCUGAGAGCAACAGAAGAGCUGCAGAACGGGUUAGCUCCUUUUACCGGCACUCAUGAUGCUGCUCAAGGACCUGCCAUUGCUCUGUAGCAGGACUCCCAGGAUAUGUACAUCCAGAAGCCCUUCAGAUAAGCCCUUCCCUUAAAGGAAGCUCAUUAAAAUUUCUUCAGAAAUACUCCAACCCCCCUGCUAAAGCAGGCUCCCUACAGCAGGUCACACGGGAAAGCAUCCAGAUGAAUUUUGGACACUUCCAGAGAAGGAGACUCUACAACGUCUCUGAGCAAGUUCUUCCUGUGCUCUAUCACCUUAACAGUAAAAAAGUUCUUCCUCAUGUAUGUACGGAACUUCCUGUAUUGCAGUUUUUCCCAUUGCUCCUUGUCUGUUGCUGCACAUCACUGAAAUCAUAGAACGGCAUAGGUUGGAAGGGAUCUGAAAGCCCAUCAAGUUCCGCCCCUCCUACCAUGGGCAGGGCUGCCCCCCACCAGCUCAGGCUGCCCAGGGCCCCAUCCAACCUGGCCUUGAGUGUCUCCAGGGAUGGGGCACCACAGCUUCUCUGGGCAGCCUGUGCCAGCGCCUCACUGGCCUCUCAGUGAAAAUUUUUUCCCUGACAUCUAACCUAAAUCUCCCCUCUUUUAGUUUAAAGCCAUUCCCCCUUGUCCUGUCACUAUUAGUUAGCGUAAAAAGUCAGACUCCCUCCUGUUUAUAAGCUCCCAUUAAGUAAUGGAAGACUGCAGUGUGGUCUCCCAGGAGCCUUCUCCAGGCUGAACAAGCCCAGCUCCCUCAGCCUUUCUUUGCUCUAGCCCUCUGAGCAUCUUCAUGCCCUCCUCUGGACCCACUCCAACAGCUCCCCAUCCUUCUUGUGCUGCAGGCCCCAGGCCUGGACUCAGUAUUCCAGGUGGGGCCUCACAAGGGCAGAGCAAAGGGGGACAAUCCCCCCUCUCUCCCUGCUGGCCACCCCUCUUUUGAUGCAGCACAGCAUACCGUUGGCUUUGUGAGCUGCAAGAGGCUACAAGAGCACACUGCUGGCUCAUAUCCAGCUUUUCAUCCAUCAGAAUCCCCAAGUCCUACUCUGCAGAGCUGCUCUCGAGGAGUUCUUCUCCCAGUCUGUACACAUACCUGAGAUUGCCAUGAUUCAAAUGCAGCACCUUGCACUUGGCCUUGUUGAACCUCAUUAGGUUCACAUAGGCCCACUUUUCAAGCUUGUUUGGGUCCCUCUGUCUGGCGUCUCUUCCUUCUGUCCUAUCAACUGUACCACUCAGUUUAGUGUUGUCUGCAACAUGCAGAGGGUCAUUGAUAAAGAUGCCAAGUAACACUGGUACCAAGACGGACCCCUGGGGGACUCCACUCAUGGCGGACCUCCACCUGGACAUACGGCCACUGACCACAAUACUCUGGCUGAGACUAUCCAGCCAAACCCUUAUCUACUGAACAGUCAACUCUUCAAAUCCAUACUUCUCCAAUUUAGAGAUAAGAACGCGAUGUUUUACCAUGUCAAAGGCCUUACAGAUAUCCAGGUAGAUAACAUCAGUCAGUCUUCCCUUUUCAACUGAUACUGACACUCCAUCCUAGAAGGCCUCCAUUGGUUAGGCAUAACAUAACUUCCAAGAGGAUUUGUUCUAUGAUCUUCCCUGUCACAGAGGGAAGGCUCACCAGUCUGUAGUUCCCUACAUCUUCCUUUCUUCCCUUCUUAGAAAAAAGAGCAAUGUUUUCCUUUUCCCAGUCACCUGGGUCUGACUGAUUUCAGCAGAAUCAUACUGAUAUGACCUGAUCACAGGCUACUUCUCAGUUGUCUUCUGAGUUCAAUCACUGGUAACAUAUCUUAAAAAAAAUCUGAAAUGUCCCCAGUAUGGGUGUCACAGGCACAUCAGUUCCUGGAAGGUACUGGCUACGCUGUCUGUCCACGGCUGGUGUCCUCCUUUUCAGUCUACAUAUGACAAAAUAUAUACAGACAUGGACUAUGCAAAUGUUUGCAAAUUAAUGUCAAUUGCAAAAGGUAAUUGUAAAUGCUAGCUUCCUGGAGCAAAAUCUCUUUCAGUUCUGACUGUGUGGCACCUGGAAAAUGUUUGCUUUUUUCAUAGGUUUUAUAAUCAAAAUAAGAACUUAUUAAGUACGAAUUGUACUGGGUUUUUUGUUUGUUUGUUUUUCCAAAUAAAAUCUCUGUAUCUACCCCA